rnacentral:rRNA from 1 species
AUUGAACGCUGGCGGCAGGCCUAACACAUGCAAGUCGAACGAGGGGCGGACGGGUGAGUAAUGUCGGGGAAACUGCCUGAUGGAGGGGGGUAACUACUGGAAACGGUAGCUAAUACAGAAAACAAUCGGAUGGGCCCAGAUGGGAUUAGCUAGUGGGGGGGGUAAAGGCACCCCUAGGGGACGAUCCCUAGCUGGUCUGAGAGGAUGACCAGCCACACUGGAACUGAGACACGGUCCAGACUCCUACGGGAGGCAGCAGUGGGGAAUAUUGCACAAUGGGCGCAAGCCUGAUGCAGCCAUGCCGCGUGUAUGAAGAAGGCCUUCGGGUUGUAAAGUACUUUCAGCGGGGAGGCGUUACCCGCAGAAGAAGCACCGGCUAACUCCGUGCCAGCAGCCGCGGUAAUUC